UACGUAGGGGGCAAGCGUUGUCCGGAAUCAUUGGGCGUAAAGAGCGUGUAGGCGGCUUGGCAAGUCUGACGUGAAAGCCCGCGGCUCAACCGCGGAUUGUCGUUGGAAACUGCCUCGCUAGAGUCCGGAAGAGGAGAGCGGAAUUCCUGGUGUAGCGGUGGAAUGCGCAGAUAUCAGGAAGACCACCAGGUGGCGAAGGCGGCUGCCAGAACGCGCUCGACGUGAGGGAUGAAAGCUGGGGGAGGCAAACCGG
rnacentral:rRNA from 1 species